CCCUUAGAUGUUCUGGGCCGCACACGCGCUGCACUGAAGGAGGCAGCGUGUACUCCUGGAUCGAAAGAUUUGGGUAACCCGCGAAUCUCCUUCGUGCUAGGGAUUGAGGUUUGCAAUUAUCCUUCAUGAACGAGGAAUUCCCAGUAAGUGCAAGUCAUAAGCUUGCGCUGACUACGUCCCUGCCCUUUGUACACACCGCCCGUCGCUACUACCGAUUGAAUGAUUUAGUGAGGACUUCGGACUGGGACCGAUGCGGCUUUCGGGCUGCGUCGGUAUUCUGGAAAGAUGUCCAAACUGUAUCAUUUAGAGGAAGUAAAANUCGUANCA
rnacentral:rRNA from 1 species